rnacentral:rRNA from 1 species
GAUGAACGCUGGCGGCGUGCCUAAUACAUGCAAGUCGAGCGAACAGACGAUGAGCUUGCUCCUCUGACGUUAGCGGCGGACGGGUGAGUAACACGUGGAUAACCUACCUAUAAGACUUGGAUAACUUCGGGAAACCGGAGCUAAUACCGGAUAAUAUAUUGAACCGCAUGGUUCAAUAGUGAAAUACGGUUUUGCUGUCACUUCUAGAUGGAUCCGCGCCGCAUUAGCUAGUUGGUAAGGUAACGGCUUACCAAGGCAACGAUGCGUAGCCGGCGUAAGAGGGUGACCGGCCAGAGAGGGCGGAAGACAAGAUCGAGACUCAGACGGGAGGCAGAAGAAGAGAGGAGGCAGAAGGGGGGAAAAGUGGACAGGAGGAGCGAGGCGGAGGUAGUGAAGUUGUGGGGAUGAAGAAGGUUUUUGAUUAGGAAAAAACAAAGGGGAAUGAAAAAGGGCGUGUCGGGACGGUAGCUAAAGAAAAAGCAACGGCAAACUACGUG